rnacentral:lncRNA from 10 species
GGGCCGCUCGCCUGUGUGCGUGCGCGCGUGCUCCGCCAGCGUGGAGCGGCGCGCGAAGGCGCGGCCGCAGUCGGGGCACGCGUGGGGACGCGCCGGGUCGGCGGACGGCGCGGGCGCCUCGCCCGGGACCUGCGGGGAGAGGGGGAUAGGUCAGCCCUUAGCGGCAGGCCCCGGAGCCAGAGACCUGGGUCUCCACAGGCUGCUCCCUCUGUGAGCCUCAGUUCCCCAUCUAUGAAAUAGGAAAGGCCACGGUGCUGCCUCCCAGGAUGGCUGUGCGCAUCCAGUGAGAUAAUGCGCGUAACGCACACAUCACAAAGCCCAGUGGCGUUCUAGCUAUUUUUAUUAAUUCAACCAAUAUUUACUGAGGGCAUGCAGUGUCCUAGACUGUUCUAGGCACGGGGAUUCCGCAUUAAAUAAAAAGCAUUAAAAAAUUCCUGCUUUCAGAAAUAAUGGAUAAGGAAUGCUGGUAUUGGGGAUGCUACAGAUUUAAACAGGGUUGUCAAGACACUUUACCGAUAUGAUAACAUGAGCAAAGACUUAAAGGAGGUGACAGAGCAGGCUACGUGGAUAGCCCUCUGAGGAGCACUGCAGAGGGAACGGCAGGGCGCAGAGGCGGGAGUUGCCUGCUGUUCCAGAAAUGGCAAGAAAAAUUGGUUAAAGCAGAAUGCAUGAUGGGGGGAGUCACGGAUGUAGUGGUGGAGAUCUCUUGGCAUAUAGGGCCUUGUAUUUGUUAUAUUUGGCUUUUUUUUUUUUUUUUUUUUUUAAGAGACAGGGUCUUGCCGUGGCCCAGGCUUGGUCCCGAACCUCCUGGCUCAAGCAGUCCCUCCUGACUCAGCCUUCUGAGUAGCUGGAGUUACAGGCACAUACCACUGUGCCUGGCUCUGGCUUUUAUUAUAAAGGAGACAGGGACCUGUAAGAGGAGAUGUCAGAGGGCUUUGAGCAGGGAAGUGACCAUAUCCUACACAUUUAAAAAGGCUCCCCUCAGGCUACUGGGGUUGAAAACCAAAUGAAGGAGUUGGAGAGAGCAGAAGCAGAAGCCCAGUGAGGAGGCCACUACAGCCACCUGGCAAGAGAAGAUAGUGGCUCAUACCCAGGUGACAGAAGUGGACGGUGGAUGGUGGAGGUGGUGAGAAGUGAUUGGCUUCUGGAUCUAUUUGCAGUGUGAGACAAUAGAUUUAAUAAGAGAUUAGAUAUGAGGUGUGAAGAAAAAGAGAUCAAAAUGACUUCAAGGUUUUUGAGCUUAGCAACUGCAAAGGUGGAGUUGCCAUUUACAGAGAUGAGGACGGUGGGAGGAGCAAGUUGAGAGGGGAGAUCUGUUUUGGAUGGUGUCACGGCUUCUUGACAUAUCUGGAGCUCAGAAGCGAGGCCUAGACUGGAGAUGUUAAUUGAGAAGCUGUCAACCUAUAGAUGGUUUAUAAAGCCUUGAGAAUGAGUGGAUGAGAUCAUCCAGGGGAUGGGCAGACAGAACCUAGGGCAGCAAGAUGGGGAGAAGCCAGGGAGGGAGGAGAGCAGGAGAGGGGCAUCCUGGAAGCCAGGCCAGGACCAAGUCCAGGCUCUUAAUCAGCUUUGAAUAGCAAACACCUAUCAUUUUUUAAGCAGUGAAGAAAAAGGCAAGGGUAAAAGCCAAAUGUUAUUCUGAGGUCUGAAAUGAAACAAUCUGAAAAUGAGCCAGUUUCACAAGCUCUGGCCUUUUAGAGAUAAAAAUCAGAAAAAGGAAAGAAAUGCCUUCUAAGAGGCACAUGAAGGGAAAACAUUCUGGACUAACAGUGAAGAGUAUUGAGGGCAUAUUGCUCCCUUCCUAGAAAAGAGAACGCUCAAAACCCCAGCAAAACUGAUGUCGCGUAUCUACUGUGGCCAAGCAAUUAAUUCAUGACCAAAUGAAGUGCCUGGGGCAUAUUAAGGACAAGACAGUGUCAGCUUCUCCCAUAUUCGAUCUCCACGAGGUAAUUAUCAUCAUCCCUAUUUUACAGAUGGGGAGACAGGUGAAGAGAGAGGGACAGCAAGGCCAGGUGCAGUGGCUCACGCCUGUAAUACCAGCACUUUGGGAGGCCGAGGCAGGUGGAUCACGAGGUCAGGAGUUCAAGCCCAGCCUAGCCAAGAUGUUGAAACCCCGUCUCUACUACAAAUACAAAAAUUAGCUGGGCGUGGUGGCGGACGCCUGUAAUCCCAGCUACUCGGGAGGCUGAGGCAGGGAACUGCUUGAACCCGGGAGGUGGAGGUUGCAGUGAGCCAAGAUUGCACCACUGCCUCCAGCCUAGGUGACGGCAAGACUCCGUCUCAAAAAAAAAAAAAAAAAAAAAAGGGUGACAGCAGAAAAUAGUAGGGCCUUCUGUUUCUGAAGCUGCAGGAGGGCAACUUCAAGGCCUUCAAGAUAGUUUGUCAAAAGGUAGUGGCUUUGUGGUAACCAACUCAGAAAUUAGAAAAUAAGCCAGGCGUGGUGGUUCACACCUGUAAUCCCAGUACUUUGGGAGAUCGAGGUGGGCGGAUCACUUGAGGUCAGGAGUUCAAGACCAGCCUGGCCAACAUGGUGAAACCCUGUCUCUACUAAAAAUACAAAAAUCAGCUGGAUGUGGUGGCUCAUGCCUGUAAUCCCACCUACUCAGGAGGCUGAGGCAGGAGAAUCACUUGAACCCGGGAGGCAGAGGUUGCAGUGAGCUGAGAUCAUGCCACUGCACUCCAGCCUGGGGAACAGAGUGAGAUUCCAUCUCAAAAAA